rnacentral:rRNA from 1 species
GACGAACGCUGGCGGCGUGCCUAAUACAUGCAAGUCGAACGCUGUUUCUUUCACCGGAGCUUGCUCCACCGAAAGAAACAGAGUGGCGGACGGGUGAGUAACACGUGGGCAACCUGCCCAUCAGAGGGGGAUAACACUUGGAAACAGGUGCUAAUACCGCAUAACAGUCUGCACCGCAUGGUGCAGGAGUGAAAGACGCUUUCGGGUGUCACUGAUGGAUGGGCCCGCGGUGCAUUAGCUAGUUGGUGAGGUAACGGCUCACCAAGGCCACGAUGCAUAGCCGACCUGAGAGGGUGAUCGGCCACACUGGGACUGAGACACGGCCCAGACUCCUACGGGAGGCAGCAGUAGGGAAUCUUCGGCAAUGGACGAAAGUCUGACCGAGCAACGCCGCGUGAGUGAAGAAGGUUUUCGGAUCGUAAAACUCUGUUGUUAGAGAAGAACAAGUGAGAGAGUAACUGUUCUCACCUUGACGGUAUCUAACCAGAAAGCCACGGCUAACUACGUGCCAGCAGCCGCAGUAAUAC